rnacentral:rRNA from 1 species
GUGCCUAACACAUGCAAGUCGCACGAGGAAGUGGAGCAAUCCAUGAGUAAAGUGGCGAACGGGUGAGUAACACGUGACUACCUGCCCUCGAGUGGGGAAUAACCUCGGGAAACCGGGGCUAAUACCGCAUAACAUCGAGAGAUCAAAGCAGCAAUGCGCUUGAGGAGGGGGUCGCGUCUGAUUAGCUAGUUGGUAGGGUAACGGCCUACCAAGGCGAUGAUCAGUAGCCGGCCUGAGAGGGCGCACGGCCACACUGGAACUGAAACACGGUCCAG